GCCAUCGUGGCGCAAUGGUAGCGCAUCACCUUCCUACGUUGGUCUUGGACCUUACUGUGGAGGUGAGGUGGGGGUUGCGGGUUCGAUCCCCGUCGGUGGUA